rnacentral:rRNA from 1 species
GAUGAACGCUGGCGGCGUGCCUAAUACAUGCAAGUCGAGCGAACAGACGAGGAGCUUGCUCCUCUGACGUUAGCGGCGGACGGGUGAGUAACACGUGGAUAACCUACCUAUAAGACUGGGAUAACUUCGGGAAACCGGAGCUAAUACCGGAUAAUAUAUUGAACCGCAUGGUUCAAUAGUGAAAGACGGUUUUGCUGUCACUUAUAGAUGGAUCCGCGCCGCAUUAGCUAGUUGGUAUGGUAACGGCUUACCAAGGCAACGAUGCGUAGCCGACCUGAGAGGGUGAUUGGCUACACUGGAACUGAGACACGGUCCAGACUCCUACGGGAGGCAGCAGUAGUGAAUCUUCCGCAAUGGGCGAAAGCCUGACGGAGCAACGCCGAGUGAGUGAUGAUGUUCUUCGGAUCGUAAAACUCUGUUAUUAGGGAAGAACAAAUGUUUAAGUAACUAUGCACGUCUUGACGGUACCUAAUCAGAAAGCCACGGCUAACUACGUG